rnacentral:rRNA from 1 species
AAUAUUGCACAAUGGGGGAAACCCUGAUGCAGCGACGCCGCGUGAGCGAAGAAGGCCUUCGGGUCGUAAAGCUCUGUCUGAAGGGAAGAAACGGACGGUACCUUAGGAGGAAGCCCCGGCAAACUACGUGCCAGCAGCCGCGGUAAUACGUAGGGGGCAAGCGUUAUCAGGAAUCAUUGGGCGUAAAGGGUGCGUAGGCGGCCUUAUGGGUCAGAGGUUAAGGGCUACGGCUCAACCGUAGUAAGCCUUUGAACCUGUAGGGCUUGAGUGCAGGAGAGGAGAGUGGAAUUCCUAGUGUAGCGGUGAAAUGCGUAGAUAUUAGGAGGAACACCAGUGGCGAAGGCGACUCUCUGGACUGCAACUGACGCUGAGGCACGAAAGCGUGGGUAGCGAAC